rnacentral:pre_miRNA from 1 species
AAAAAGACAAACCCUGAGUUUCCGUGUCCAACUUUGACUGUCCGUCUUACAUGAAAUUUUUUUAUAAUUCAUAUUUUCAUUGUUGUUAGAUGAUAAAAAAUGAUUAAUAUUUUAUGCGUGACUUGUCUUUUUAAUUUUUUUUAUAAUUUUUUCAAAUAAGACGGACGGUCAAACGUUGGACACGGAAACCAGGGUUUGUCUUUUU